UACGUAGGGUGCAAGCGUUGUCCGGAAUUAUUGGGCGUAAAGAGCUCGUAGGCGGUCUGUCGCGUCUGCUGUGAAAACUCAGGGCUUAACCCUGAGCUUGCAGUGGGUACGGGCAGACUAGAGUGCGGUAGGGGAGACUGGAAUUCCUGGUGUAGCGGUGAAAUGCGCAGAUAUCAAGGAGGGAACACCGGUGGGCCGAAGGCG
rnacentral:rRNA from 1 species